GAUGGUGUAGCUCAGUGGUAGAGCACGUACUUAUUAGCAUGCACAAGGUCCUGGGUUCAAUCCUCAGUACUGCCA
rnacentral:tRNA from 1 species